rnacentral:lncRNA from 1 species
CUUCCCUCAUUGGGAACAUACCAGGGAGACUUAAGCAUCAGUAGUGCACUCGGUGAAGUCCCAUAGUAGAGAAGUGAUGUGAGACGAGUUGUACAGGGGAGCAUACAGAAAUGCUGAGGAACUGCUCAGAAACAUGGACAUCACUGAGGUUGGGGAAGACAUGAUGGAUGACUCCAGCAGUGCACCUAGGCUGUAUUUCCCAUGGGUAACGAGUGAGCUCAGUCCAGCAGCCCAUUGGAUUUCUUCCAUUGACUUUGGUCCCUUGCUUGUGCUCUAUUUCUUCUGAAAAUAAGACCUCUCUUUUAUUUCUCUGUUUGUGCUUUUACUGAACACAGAAGCAGGGAAAAAAGAAUGACUGGCAGGUGUCCUAAGUGUAUAGUGAGUUGCGUGCUCGUAGCUCAGUCUGACGGUGAAGGUCGGUAAAUGGAGUCUUAUGACUCACUGCCACUACAUGGCGGGCAAUGCAUGGCACUGACAACUCCACUCUGGUUGGGAAAUGGUAGAAUCAGGCUGCAGAAAGGGACUCUUCUGCCUGUGCUGUAUGGGGGUUUGCAGUCAGCAGAGGAUCCUGAGUAGGAGAGUGGCUGAGCAACAGAGCUGGUCAUCAAGGCUUUUUAUUCUCGUGAGCUCUGGGAAGGGCAGAGUGUACAAGGGCGUGCUCAGGGCAAGUGAAGCAUUUUAAAAGCUUUUGGAUUGGAUGUUUUUCUUUUUUUCAGUGCUCCAAAAGUAAAAGGAAGAAUGAAUUGGAUUUCUCUGAUGGAUGUUCUUAAAGGCUCACAAUAACAGGCAAGCUGUCUGGAGAUCACCUGCACUUGUGAGCAGCGAUAGUGAGAGGGAUGAAGCCAUUUCUGCUACUAUUAGAGUUAAUGGGGGACAUGACUGGGCAGGAACCAUCCCAGGAGUGGACCUACAAAGGUAAAGUAUUCCCUAUGUCAAUGUUCUCUGUCUCUAGGAUAGAGAACAUUAUUAUGCUUCUGGCCCGACACUUGUUUAUGUAAAAUAAGUCUCAAAGGAGAGAGAGCAGCUCAGUGUUUGCUUCCCAAUAUUGCAGCCUUACCUGCAGCAAAUUGCUGCAAGACACAGGGCCCCUGGCAGUGAGGGGUGUCCUCAGCAAUGGAG